rnacentral:rRNA from 1 species
GACGAACGCUGGCGGCGUGCUUAACACAUGCAAGUCGAACGGAAAGGCCCUGCUUUUGUGGGGUGCUCGAGUGGCGAACGGGUGAGUAACACGUGAGUAACCUGCCCUUGACUUUGGGAUAACUUCAGGAAACUGGGGCUAAUACCGGAUAGGAGCUCCUGCUGCAUGGUGGGGGUGGGAAAGUUUCGGCGGGUGGGGAUGGACUCGCGGCUUAUCAGCUUGUUGGUGGGGUAGUGGCUUACCAAGGCUUAGACGGGUAGCCGGCCUGGGAGGGUGACCGGCCACAUUGGGACUGAGAUACGGACCAGACGCCUACGGGGGGCAACAGUGGGGAAUAUUGCACAAUGGGCGGAAGCCUGAUGCAGCAACGCCGCGUGCGGGAUGACGGCCUUCGGGUUGUAAACCGCUUUCGCCUGUGACGCAGCGUGAGUGACGGUAAUGGGUAAAGAAGCACCGGCUAACUACGUG